UACGAAGGGGGCUAGCGUUGCUCGGAUUGACUGGGCGUAAAGGGUGCGUAGGCGGCGCGGUAAGUCGGAUGUGAAAUCUCGGAGCUUAACUCCGAAACUGCAUUCGAUACUGCCGUGCUUGAGGACUGGAGAGGAGACUGGAAUUUACGGUGUAGCGGUGAAAUGCGUAGAUAUCGUGAGGAAGACCGGUGGCGAAGGCGGAUCUCUGGACAGUUCCUGACGCUGAGGCACGAAGGCCAGGGGAGCAAACGGG
rnacentral:rRNA from 1 species